GACCUUCCCAGCUCAGCUUCCCAAGUAGCUGGGACUAUACAGCAGGAAUAGGACUGUGCUUUGGAAACCGAGCAAGUCCUGGAUUUCUGUCACAAUUCCAGACGUGUGGAUGGAGCUCUACAGUCUACUGUUCUUGCAUAGGAGUUCCUGCUCAGGUUCCCAUCACCAGGAGGUGCAUUUAGUCCUUCCCCUGAAGAUUUGGAGUACAGGAAAGAACAUUAUGAAUACAUUUAUUCUGAGACCUUUAUCCAGAGGUUUUCAGGUCUUUUAAGAAGUGAAAAUGAAAGUAUUUAUCUGAACUCAAAAAAAUGUCCCUCAAUCCAGUAAUUCUGCUUCUGGAAAUCUUGUUUGGGGGAGUAAUCCAAAAAGUAGGAAAAAAAUAAAAAAGAG